CUGCAAACCUGGGGGUUAAGGGAAUGAGGUGAGCUACAAGAGCCCAGUGAGCAGAAUAAUAAAACAUGACAUUUUAAAUUUAUGCUUUCAUGAAAUGCGUCACAUCACAAACAAGCCACAUCAAGGGUAAACCUGUCACCAACUAGUCCCAUCGUCAUAACUGUUGCCAGCGGCGUAGUCAGAGGCUCACUGGACUUCCUGUAACAUAACAUAACUUACACUGCCCUAAGGCCUUAUUAGGCACUUGGUCUUGGCGUCCCAUGGUGCCAGGGGCGUAGUCAAAGGCUUCCUGGUCUUUCUUUCUCAUAGUGCCAGGGGCGUAGUCAAAGG
rnacentral:lncRNA from 1 species